UACGUAGGGGCAAGCGUUGUCCGGAUUUAUUGGGCGUAAAGAGCGUGUAGGCGGCUAGAUAGGCCCGUUGUGAAAACUCGAGGCUCAACCUCGAGACGUCGAUGGAAACCAUCUGGCUAGGACGUCGAAGAGGAGAGUGGAAUUCCUGGUGGUAGCGGUGAAAUGCGCAGAGUAUCAGGAAGAACACCCGUGGCGAAGGCGGCUCCUCUGGUAACGUGACUGACGCUGAGGCGCGAAAGCGUGGGGAGCAAACAGG
rnacentral:rRNA from 1 species